rnacentral:rRNA from 1 species
AGGUAACGGCUCACCAAGGCUUCGACGGGUAGCUGAUCUGAGAGGAUGAUCAGCCACACUGGCACUGCGACACGGGCCAGACUCCUACGGGAGGCAGCAGUAAGGAAUAUUGCGCAAUGGGCGAAAGCCUGACGCAGCGACGCCGCGUGGGGGAUGAAGGUCUUCGGAUUGUAAACCCCUUUCGGGAGGGAAGAUGGGAUGGGGUAACCCAUUCGGACGGUACCUCCAGAAGCAGCCACGGCUAACUUCGUGCCAGCAGCCGCGGUAAUACGAAGGUGGCAAGCGUUGUUCGGAUUUACUGGGCGUACAGGGAGCGUAGGCGGUUGGAUAAGCCCUCCGUGAAAUCUCCAGGCUUAACCUGGAAAGUGCAGAGGGGACUGUUCAGCUAGAGGAUGGGAGAGGAGCGCGGAAUUCCCGGUGUAGCGGUGAAAUGCGUAGAGAUCGGGAGGAAGGCCGGUGGCGAAGGCGGCGCUCUGGAACAUUUCUGACGCUGAGGCUCGAAAGCGUGGGGAGCAAACAGGAUUAGAUACCCUGGUAGUCCACGCCUUAAACGAUGGAUAC